AUUGAACGCUGGCGGAAUGCUUUACACAUGCAAGUCGAACGGCAGCACGGGGGCAGCCCUGGUGGCGAGUGGCGAACGGGUGAGUAAUACAUCGGAACGUGCCCGGUCGUGGGGGAUAACGUAGCGAAAGUUACGCUAAUACCGCAUACGAUCUGAGGAUGAAAGCGGGGGACCUUCGGGCCUCGCGCGAUCGGAGCGGCCGAUGUCAGAUUAGGUAGUUGGUGGGGUAAAGGCCUACCAAGCCGACGAUCUGUAGCUGGUCUGAGAGGACGACCAGCCACACUGGGACUGAGACACGGCCCAGACUCCUACGGGAGGCAGCAGUGGGGAAUUUUGGACAAUGGGCGCAAGCCUGAUCCAGCCAUUCCGCGUGCAGGACGAAGGCCUUCGGGUUGUAAACUGCUUUUGUACGGAACGAAAAGGCUCUGGCUAAUACCUGGGGCUCAUGACUGUACCGUAAGAAUAAGCACCGGCUAACUACGUG
rnacentral:rRNA from 1 species